GAUGAAGAACGCAGCGAAAUGUGAUACGUAAUGUGAAUUGCAAAUUCAGUGAAUCAUCGAGUCUUUGAACGCACAUUGCGCCCCCUGGUAUUCCGGGGGGCAUGCCUGUCCGAGCGUCAUUGCUGCCCUCAAGCACGGCUUGUGUGUUGGGCCCCGUCCUCCGAUCCCGGGGGACGGGCCCGAAAGGCAGCGGCGGCACCGCGUCCGGUCCUCGAGCGUAUGGGGCUUUGUCACCCGCUCUGUAGGCCCGGCCGGCGCUUGCCGAUCAACCCAAAUUUUUAUCCAGGUUGACCUCGGAUCAGGCAGGGAUACCCGCUGAACUUAAGCAUAUCAAUAAGCGGAGGA
rnacentral:misc_RNA from 1 species